UGGACCAAUACUGACGCUGAGGUACGAAAGCGUGGGUAGCAAACAGGAUUAGAUACCCUGGUAGUCCACGCCGUAAACGAUGAUAACUAGCCGUUGGGGGGAUUUACCCCUUAGUGGCGAAGCUAACGCGUUAAGUUAUCCGCCUGGGGAGUACGGCCGCAAGGUUAAAACUCAAAGGAAUUGACGGGGACCCGCACAAGCGGUGGAGCAUGUGGUUUAAUUCGAUGCAACGCGAAGAACCUUACCUGGUCUUGACAUCCUGAGAACUUUCUAGAAAUAGAUUGGUGCCUUCGGGAACUCAGUGACAGGUGCUGCAUGGCUGUCGUCAGCUCGUGUCGUGAGAUGUUGGGUUAAGUCCCGUAACGAGCGCAACCCCUAUCCUUAUUUGCCAGCACAUCAUGGUGGGAACUAUAAGGAGACUGCCGGUGAUAAACCGGAGGAAGGCGGGGACGACGUCAAGUCAUCAUGGCCCUUACGACCAGGGCUACACACGUGCUACAAUGGGAAGGACAAAGAGCCGCGAAGCCGCGAGGUGUAGCUAAUCUCAGAAACCUUUUCGUAGUCCGGAUUGGAGUCUGCAACUCGACUCCAUGAAGUCGGAAUCGCUAGUAAUCGUAGAUCAGAAUGCUACGGUGAAUACGUUCCCGGGUCUUGUACACACCGCCCGUCAUACCAUGGGAGUGGGUUGCACCAGAAGUGGCUAGUCUAACUUUAUUGAGGACGGUCACCACGGUGUGAUUCAUGACUGGGGUAAAGUCGUAACAAGGUAGCCGUA
rnacentral:rRNA from 1 species